rnacentral:sRNA from 1 species
CACCGCCUGGGGAGUACGACCGCAAGGUUAAAACUCAAAUGAAUUGACGGGGACCCGCACAAGUAGUGGAGCAUGUGGUUUAAUUCGAAGAUACGCGCAGAACCUUACCAACACUUGACAUGUUCGUCGCGACUCUAAGAGAUUAGAGUUUUCGGUUCGGCCGGACGAAACACAGGUGCUGCAUGGCUGUCGUCAGCUCGUGUCGUGAGAUGUUGGGUUAAGUCCCGCAACGAGCGCAACCCUCACUUUUAGUUGCCAUCAUUUAGUUGGGCACUCUGAAAGAACUGCCAGUGAUAAGCUGGAGGAAGGUGGGGAUGACGUCAAGUCCUCAUGGCCCUUACGUGUUGGGCUACACACGUGCUACAAUGGCAUUUACAAUAGGAAGCAAGAUGGCGACAUCAAGCAAAUCCUAAAAAGAUGCCUCAGUUCGGAUUGUACUCUGCAACUCGAGUACAUGAAGCUGGAAUUACUAGUAAUCGCGGAUCAGCGCGCCGCGGUGAAUACGUUCCCGGGUCUUGUACACACCGCCCGUCACACCAUGGGAGUUGGUUCUACCUUAAGGCAAGGUUUUAAACCCUUGACUACGGUAUAGUCAGCGACUGGGGUGAAGUCGUAACAAGGUAGCCGUAGGGGAACCUGCGGCUGGAUUACCUCCUUUCUAAGGAUGAUUAAGGAUUAUUUCUUAAUCUAAAUAAUAUAACAGGCUAAUGUUGACCGUCCUCAUUUCUCUUUUUAAAAUUGUGUUUCUCCUUUUGCACAAAGGGGCCGGUAGCUCAGUUGGUUAGAGCACACCCUUGAUAAGGGUGGGGUCGAAAGUUCGAGUCUUUCUCGGCCCACCAUUUUCCUGGGGGAUUAGCUCAGCUGGGAGAGCGCCUGAUUUGCAUUCAGGAGGUCAGCGGUUCGAUCCCGCUAUCCUCCACCAUGGAACACUUAGUUAUUUAAACUGUGAAUACUUUAUAUUAAAUUAUCAAUAUCUAUAUCCGAUUGUUCAAUUUUUAUUUUGAACAAUCAAUAAAUAUUCGAAAAGAUGAAUAUUUUAAAAAAUUUGAUUCAACACAGAAUUUUUUUCUG